GAAUUCACUAGUGAUUCAGGCCUAACACAUGCAAGUCGAACGGCAGCACGGAGCUUGCUCUGGUGGCGAGUGGCGAACGGGUGAGUAAUAUAUCGGAACGUACCCUGGAGUGGGGGAUAACGUAGCGAAAGUUACGCUAAUACCGCAUACGAUCUACGGAUGAAAGUGGGGGAUCGCAAGACCUCAUGCUCGUGGAGCGGCCGAUAUCUGAUUAGCUAGUUGGUAGGGUAAAAGCCUACCAAGGCAUCGAUCAGUAGCUGGUCUGAGAGGACGACCAGCCACACUGGAACUGAGACACGGUCCAGACUCCUACGGGAGGCAGCAGUGGGGAAUUUUGGACAAUGGGCGAAAGCCUGAUCCAGCAAGGCCGCGUGAGUGAAGAAGGCCUUCGGGUUGUAAAGCUAUGGGUCAGGGAAGAAACGGUGAGAGCUAAUAUCUCUUGCUAAUGACGGUA
rnacentral:rRNA from 1 species